GUCUUAUUGAUUAUAAUUUUAAGUCUAAUCUGCCCAGUGAUUUAUUAAAUGGCUGCAGUAUUUUAACUGUACAAAGGUAGCAUAAUAAUUAGUUUCUUAAUUAGAAACUGGAAUGAAAGAUUGAACGAGACAAUAACUGUCUUAAUUUGAAUUUAAGAAUUUUAUUUUUAAGUUAAAAAGCUUAAAUUUUUUUAAAAGACGAGAAGACCCUAUAGAAUUUUAUAUUAUUAUUAUAUUUAAAUUUUAGUAUAUAAAUUUUAAAUUUUUUUAAAGAUAUUUGGUUGGGGUGAUUGGAAAAUUUAUUUAACUUUUUUUAUUAUAAAUCAUUUAUUUAUGUUUUUUUGAUCCAAAAUUUUUGAUUAUAAGAUUAAAUUACCUUAGGGAUAACAGCGUAAUUUUUUUAGAGAGUUCUUAUCGAUAAAAGAGAUUGCGACCUCGAUGUUGGAUUAAAGUUAAUUUUUAAUGUAGAAGUUAAAAUAUUAGGUCUGUUCGACCUUUAAAACUUUACAUGAUCUGAGUUUAAAUCGGCGUGAGCCAGGUUGGAUUCUAUCUUUAAUAAGUUUUUAUAUUUUAGUACGAAAGGACCAAAUAUAAUUUAUAGUAAAUUUUAUAGAAUAAUAUUAUUAUUUUGGCAGAUUAGUGCUUUAAAUUUAGAAUUUAAAUAUGUGAUAUUUUUACAAAUAAUA
rnacentral:misc_RNA from 1 species